rnacentral:lncRNA from 1 species
CGCCUGAAUUUUGUGUUUUUAAUCUGAUUUUUAGGGUUUUUCACCCAAAUUUUGGGUUUCCCGCCCGAUUUUUGGGUUUUUAAUCUCAAUUUUUGGGGUUUCUCACCCAAAUUUUGGGUUUCNNNNNNNNNNNNNNNNNNNNGGGAUGGGAGGGACAGGUGAGACUGGACAGGUGAGAUUGGACAGGUGAGAGGGAACAGGUGAGAUGGGACAGGUGAGGGCUCUGGGGAGGGACAGGUGAGGUGGGACAGGUGAGAUUGGACAGGUGGGACUGGGACAGGUGAGAUUGGACAGGUGAGAGGGAACAGGUGAGAUGGGACAGGUGAGGGCUCUGGGGAGGGACAGGUGAGGUGGGAGAGGUGAGGGACAGGUGAGAUGAGUGAGACAGGUGAGGGACAUCUGAGACCCCCCAGGUGUCCCUCACCUGUCCAGGUGUGUCUCACCUGCCCCAGGUGUCCCUCACCUGUCCAGGUGUGUCUCACCUGUCCCAGGUGUCCCUCACCUGUCCAGGUGUCCCUCACCUGUCCAGGUGUGUCUCACCUGUCCCAGGUGUGUCUCACCUGUCCCAGGGGUUCCUCACCUGCCCCAGGUGUCCCCCAGGUGUCCCUCACCUGUCCAGGUGUGUCUCACCUGCCCCAGGUGUCCCUCACCUGUCCCAGGUGUGUCUCACCUGUCCCAGGGGUUCCUCACCUGUCCCAGGGGUCUCACCUGUCCCAGGUGUUCCUCACCUGUCCCAGGUGUCCCUCACCUGUCCCAGGUGGGUCUCACCUGUCCCAGGGGUUCCUCACCUGUCCCAGGUGUUCCUCACCUGUCCCAGGGGUCUCACCUGUCCCAGGGGUUCCUCACCUGUCCCAGGUGUGUCUCACCUGUCCCAGGGCUUCCUCACCUGAAUUUGGGGGGGGUCUCAUCCAAAUUUUGGGUUUCUCACCUGAAUUUUGGGGUUUUAAUCUGAUUUUUGGGGUUUCUCACCCAAAUUUUGGGGUUUCUCAUCCAAAUUUUGGGUUUCUCGCCUGA